rnacentral:rRNA from 1 species
GACGAACGCUGGCGGCGUGCUUAACACAUGCAAGUCGAACGGAAAGGCCCUGCUUUUGUGGGGUGCUCGAGUGGCGAACGGGUGAGUAACACGUGAGUAACCUGCCCUUGACUUUGGGAUAACUUCAGGAAACUGGGGCUAAUACCGGAUAGGAGCUCCUGCUGCAUGGUGGGGGUUGGAAAGUUUCGGCGGUUGGGGAUGGACUCGCGGCUUAUCAGCUUGUUGGUGGGGUAGUGGCUUACCAAGGCUUUGACGGGUAGCCGGCCUGAGAGGGUGACCGGCCACAUUGGGAAUGAGAUACGGCCCAGACUCCUACGGGAGGAAGCAGGGGGGAAUAUUGCACAAUGGGCGGAAGCCUGAUGCAGCAACGCCGCGUGCGGGAUGACGGCCGUCGGGUUGUAAACCGCUUUCGCCUGUGACGAAGCGUGAGUGACGGUAAUGGGUAAAGAAGCACCGGCUAACUACGUG